AGUGAACGCUGGCGGCGUGCUUAACACAUGCAAGUCGAACGAGAACGGGCUAUAGCUUGCUAUAGUUGUCAGCUAAGUGGCGCACGGGUGAGUAAUGUAUAGGUAAUAUGCCUCUUACUAAGGGAUAACAAAUGGAAACGUUUGCUAAUACCUUAUACUCCUUAUUAACAGAAGUUAAUAAGGGAAAGAUUUAUUGGUAAGAGAUUAGCCUGUAUUGUAUCAGUUAGUUGGUGGGGUAAUGGCCUACCAAGACUAUGACACAUAACUGGUUUGAGAGGAUGAUCAGUCACACUGGAACUGAGACACGGUCCAGACUCCUACGGGAGGCAGCAGUGGGGAAUAUUGCACAAUGGACGAAAGUCUGAUGCAGCAACGCCGCGUGGAGGAUGACACAUCUCGGUGCGUAAACUCCUUUUAUAUGAGAAGAUAAUGACGGUAUUAUAUGAAUAAGCACCGGCUAACUCCGUGCCAGCAGCCGCCGUAA
rnacentral:rRNA from 1 species